CGCGUAGGCGGCUUGUACAGUCAGACGUGAAAUUCCUGGGCUCAACCUGGGGGCUGCGUUUGAUACGUGCGGGCUUGAGUUCGGAAGAGGGUCGUGGAAUUCCCAGUGUAGAGGUGAAAUUCGUAGAUAUUGGGAAGAACACCGGUGGCGAAGGCGGCGACCUGGUCCGAUACUGACGCUGAGGCGCGAAAGCGUGGGGAGCAAACAGGAUUAGAUACCCUGGUAGUCCACGCCGUAAACGAUGUGCGCUGGAUGUUGGGUGACAUAGUCAUUCAGUGUCGUAGCUAACGUGAUAAGCGCACCGCCUGGGUAGUAUGGCCGCAAGGUUGAA
rnacentral:rRNA from 1 species